UACCAGACGAAAUGUUGUUAGAUAUGGAAGUUUAGGAAUUGCUGCAUCCUGUCUCCUCUUUACUAUUACAAACUGGAAGGCAAUGCAGUAUGCAUCUCCAAAAGCUAUCUGGAACUUGUUGUUCGGCACAGGCAAUCCUCCUUUUGAACAGAAAGAAGAUGCGUCCAGUUCACAGAGGAUUCAACAAUUUGUAAACUAUAUAUCUGAUGUGGAUGCCAGGAAAUCUACGACUAUCGUGCCCGAGUUCCCAUCUAAACUUGAUUGGCUGAAUACAAGCCCCCUUCAGCUAGG
rnacentral:misc_RNA from 1 species